UACGGAGGGUGCAAGCGUUGUUCGGAAUUAUUGGGCGUAAAGCGCGUGCAGGCGGUUGCUUAAGUCUGAUGUGAAAGCCCUGGGCUCAACCCGGGAAGUGCAUUGGAAACUGGGCAACUUGAGUACGGGAGAGGAUAGUGGUAUUCCGAGUGUAGGGGUGAAAUCCGUAGAUAUUCGGAGGAACACCGGUGGCGAAGGCGGCUAUCUGGACCGAUACUGACGCUGAGACGCGAAAGCGUGGGGAGCAAACAGG
rnacentral:rRNA from 1 species